rnacentral:rRNA from 1 species
CCUACGGGAGGCAGUAGUGGGGAAUAUUGCACAAUGGGGGAAACCCUGAUGCAGCGACGCCGCGUGAGUGAAGAAGUAAUUCGUUAUGUAAAGCUCUAUCAGCAGGGAAGAAAAUGACGGUACCUGAGUAAGAAGCCCCGGCUAACUACGUGCCAGCAGCCGCGGUAAUACGUAGGGGGCAAGCGUUAUCCGGAUUUACUGGGUGUAAAGGGAGCGUAGACGGCAGUGCAAGUCUGGAGUGAAAGGCGGGGGCUCAACCCCCGGACUGCUGUGGAAACUGUACGGCUGGAGGGCAGGAGAGGUAAGGGGAAGUCGUGGUGAAGCGGAGAAAGG